CAAGAAAUGUGAUAAAGAAGAAAAGGCUGAAAAGACCAAGAUUAAAAAGAGCAAAGGUCUCGUUGCAUCUGUGCCAGAUAUAGCUCCUGGGUUUCUCCAGCUUGGGAAAGCAGCUUUAUUCUGAUUUUGCAGCCUAUGAAAAGAAACACCAAAGAAGUGAGCAAUACUUCCAGCUGAUAAGUCCCCAUUUGGUGGAAGAAAACCAAUUUCUGGGAUUCAACCAUUGUAAAUUAUCUGAAAGGACACUCCAGAAAGGCAAUACAGAAGUGGCCUGAAUACAUGCUGAAAAUGCAAUCCACCAGAAGAACCAAGCAAUUAAUUUUUUGAGAAUGGGUGCUAGGGUUGAUGCUGUAGCAGCCAGAGUUCAAACUGCAGUAACAAUGGGCAAGAUUUCUGCCCUGAUGGACAAAUGUGAACACCAGUUUGAAGCAUUUGAUGUUCAAACACAACAAAUGGAAGACACAGUGAGUAGCACUACAACACUAAAAAUGACCAAGUAAGAAUAGUUUCAAUACUUA
rnacentral:lncRNA from 1 species